UACAGAGGGUGCGAGCGUUGUUCGGAAUUAUUGGGCGUAAAGCGCGUGUAGGCGGCCUUGCAAGUCGGGUGUGAAAGCCCUCAGCUUAACUGAGGAAGUGCGCCCGAAACUGCCGAGCUUGAGUACCGGAGAGGAUGGUGGAAUUCCCCAAGUAGAGGUGAAAUUCGUAGAUAUGGGGAGGAACACCGGAGGCGAAAGCGGUGUACUGGGGCUGGUCUGACGCUGAGGCACGAAAGCCAGGGGAGCGAACGGG
rnacentral:rRNA from 1 species